rnacentral:lncRNA from 1 species
CUUUUCUAAAAGCUAAAUAAGUCUCUCAACAGUUUUAUGACCCAACAAUGUCUUUCUCAAGGACCUGGAACCAGCUCUUGUAAACAUAAGCCUCACCAAGAUGGCGCCCCGUCCUGUUUGCACAGGAGGGGAGAGGCUCGCCUCUGGGGCGCCUGCCUCCGAAACUCCCUCCCGGUGUAAAGAUGCAGGAGAUUUAUUCUUCCUUUGGAUAAAGCUGUCCAGCGGAGACACAUGGACACGUCAGCUACCGGUUGCCGUUGGGUGAUGAGUAAAGCUGUAUUAAAACAGCCUGGGCACAGCUGCUAGAACCACCGAGUCAUGGAGAAUGAGAAGAGCUGACCUGCGUGCGCUGAGGACUCCACCCAGCCAGGAGAUGGAGAUUGGGAAGUGUGUGAGGUAUUGAUGCCACGGUUAGAGAGUUCAAUACAUUGAACAGAAGCAGAGAGAUUAAAUUUUUCAAGUAACAGCAGAAAACAACCCUGACCACACAGCCAUACUGAUUUGGUGGCCACAGAAAG